UAACNCGUGAGCAACCUGCCCCUGACUCUGGGAUAAGCGCUGGAAACGGCGUCUAAUACUGGAUAUGUCCCGUCACCGCAUGGUGUGCGGGUGGAAAGAUUUUUCGGUUGGGGAUGGGCUCGCGGCCUAUCAGCUUGUUGGUGAGGUAAUGGCUCACCAAGGCGUCGACGGGUAGCCGGCCUGAGAGGGUGACCGGCCACACUGGGACUGAGACACGGCCCAGACUCCUACGGGAGGCAGCAGUGGGGAAUAUUGCACAAUGGGCGGAAGCCUGAUGCAGCAACGCCGCGUGAGGGAUGACGGCCUUCGGGUUGUAAACCUCUUUUAGCAGGGAAGAAGCGAGAGUGACGGUACCUGCAGAAAAAGCACCGGCUAACUACGUGCCAGCAGCCGCGGUAAUACGUAGGGUGCAAGCGUUAUCCGGAAUUAUUGGGCGUAAAGAGCUCGUAGGCGGUCUGUCGCGUCUGCUGUGAAAUCCCGAGGCUCAACCUCGGGCUUGCAGUGGGGUACGGGCNNACNA
rnacentral:rRNA from 1 species